rnacentral:rRNA from 1 species
GUGGGGAAUCUUAGACAAUGGGGGAAACCCUGAUCUAGCCAUGCCGCGUGAUCGAUGAAGGCCUUAGGGUUGUAAAGAUCUUUCAGGUGGGAAGAUAAUGACGGUACCCCCAGAAGAAGCCCCGGCUAACUCCGUGCCAGCAGCCGCGGUAAUACGGAGGGGGCUAGCGUUGUUCGGAAUUACUGGGCGUAAAGCGCACGUAGGCGGACCAGAAAGUUGGGGGUGAAAUCCCGGGGCUCAACCUCGGAACUGCCUUCAAAACUCCUGGUCUUGAGUUCGAGAGAGGUGAGUGGAAUUCCGAGUGUAGAGGUGAAAUUCGUAGAUAUUCGGAGGAACACCAGUGGCGAAGGCGGCUCACUGGCUCGAUACUGACGCUGAGGUGCGAAAGCGUGGGGAGCAAACAGGAUUAGAAACCCCUGUAGUCC